CCUACGGGGAGCAGCAGUGGGGAAUAUUGGACAAUGGGGGGAACCCUGAUCCAGCGACGCCGCGUGAGUGAAGAAGUAUUUCGGUAUGUAAAGCUCUAUCAGCAGGGAAGAAAAUGACGGUACGUGACUAAGAAGCCCCGGCUAACUACGUGCCAGCAGCCCGGGGAAUACGUAGGGGGCAAGCGUUAUCCGGAUUUAAUGGGUGUAAAGGGAGCGUAGGCGGGGAGGUAAGUCUGAAGUGGAAGCCCGCGGGCCAACCGCGGAACUGCUUUUGAAACUGUUUUGCUGGAGUGUGGGAGGGGUAAGCGGAAGUCCUGGUGUAGCGGUGAAAUGCGUAGAUAUCAGGAGGAACACCGGUGGCGAAGGCGGCUUACUGGACCCUAACUGACGUUGAGGCUCGAAAGCGUGGGGAGCGAACAGGAUUAGAUACCCUAGUAGUC
rnacentral:rRNA from 1 species